rnacentral:snRNA from 1 species
AGCUUUGCGCAGUGGCAGUAUCAUAGCCAAUGAGGUUUAUCCGAGGUGUGAUUAUUGCUAAUUGAAAACUGCAUCAAACUAA